rfam:Prevotella sp. CAG:5226 genomic scaffold, scf81
GACUUGCUAGCUCAGUUGGUAGAGCACAACACUUUUAAUGUUGGGGUCUUGGGUUCGAACCCCAAGCAAGUCA